rnacentral:rRNA from 1 species
AGUUUGAUCAUGGCUCAGGAUGAACGCUAGCGGGAGGCCUAACACAUGCAAGCCGAGCGGUAGAGAUUCUUCGGAAUCUUGAGAGCGGCGUACGGGUGCGGAACACGUGUGCAAACCUACCUUUAUCUGGAGGAUAGCCUUUCGAAAGGAAGAUUAAUGCUCCAUAAUAUAUUGAUUGGCAUCAAUUGAUAUUGAAAGCUCCGGCGGAUAGAGAUGGGCACGCGCAAGAUUAGUUAGUUGGUGAGGUAACGGCUCACCAAGACGAUGAUCUUUAGGGGCCUGAGAGGGUGAUCCCCCACACUGGUACUGAGACACGGACCAGACUCCUACGGGAGGCAGCAGUGAGGAAUAUUGGUCAAUGGGUGCAAGCCUGAACCAGCCAUCCCCGCGUGAAGGACGACUGCCCUAUGGGUUGUAAACUUCUUCUGUAUAGGGAUAAACCUACCCUCGUGAGGGUAGCUGAAGGUACUAUACGAAUAAGCACCGGCUAACUCCGUG